ensembl:lncRNA MCHR2-AS1 MCHR2 antisense RNA 1
AGCUGACGGAAGGUGGGGGAGGAGUGCGAGGGUCUCUGAGACAGGUUGGGAGCCAGCCCCACCUCCAUUUCCAAAGCGGGGGUCCAGGCACAGGAACAGCCAAACGCCCGAACCAGCGGGGUUACCUUUGCCACUUCAUCCAAUCCGAGCAUCGGCUGACAAGUUUAUUUAAUCCCUGAACCUGGAUCCAAGGCAUCUCCCUGUAGAAAACAUCAGACCGGGGCAGAGAUUGACAAAGCAACCCAAAGCAGCAGCUGCCAACGGCCGCUGUGCCCACCUCAUCAGCAGCUAAAGAGUAUAAUUUUAAAAAAAGUCACAGAAGAAUGUGGAGACACUUAGCAAAACGGACUCUCAUAAGGUUCCCUAUUUUGUCAGUAAGGAAGUAAACAACCGCUAAAACAACCCUCUAACAACAGAAGACCCUCAUGAGAACACCAGGCAGCAGAAGCUUCUUUAGCAGUAAAAGAUAUCUGGAUAUUCAUAUUUUGUUCCAUGAUCUUCAACAUUAAAUAAAUAAACUUAAUAUUCAAGUCUC